AGGGUAAGCUACUAAGGGCACACGGUGGAUGCCUUGGCGCCAGGAGCCGAUGAAGGACGGGACGAACACCGAUAUGCCUCGGGGAGCUGUAAGUGAGCGUUGAUCCGGGGAUGUCCGAAUGGGGGAACCCGCCAGCUUGAAGAGCUGGCACCGCCAUCUGAAUCCAUAGGAUGGACGGGGGCACACCAGGGGAACUGAAACAUCUUAGUACCCUGAGGAAGAGAAAGCAAACGCGAUUCCCUGAGUAGCGGCGAGCGAAACGGGAACAGCCCAAACCGGUUGGCUUUGCCAACCGGGGUUGUAGGACGUCUCACACGGAGUCACAAAGGUGACGGAUAGAUGAAGUGGUUCUGGAAAGACCCGCCAAAGAAGGUAACAGCCCUGUAAUCGAAAUCGGUCACCCUCCGAGACGGAUCCUGAGUACCGCGGGACACGUGAAACCCCGUGGGAAGCAGGGAGGACCACCUCCCAAGGCUAAAUACUCCCUGGCGACCGAUAGUGAACCAGUACCGUGAGGGAAAGGUGAAAAGCACCCCGGGAGGGGAGUGAAAGAGAACCUGAAACCGUGUGCUUACAAUCAGUCGGAGUCCUUUUAAAGGGAUGACGGCGUGCCUUUUGUAGAAUGAACCGGCGAGUGACGGUCCCGUGCGAGGUUAAGGUGAGAAGCCGGAGCCGCAGCGAAAGCGAGUCUGAACAGGGCGAAUGAGUACGUGGCCGUCGACCCGAAACCGGGUGAUCUACCCAUGUCCAGGGUGAAGUUCCGGUAACACGGAAUGGAGGCCCGAACCUGUUGGUGUUGAAAAACCAUAGGAUGAGGUGUGGGUAGGGGUGAAAUGCCAAUCGAACCCGGAGAUAGCUGGUUCUCCCCGAAAUAGCUUUAGGGCUAGCCUCGGAGAGGAGUCGUGGAGGUAGAGCACUGAUUGGGCUAGGGGCCCCCACAGGGUUACCGAACUCAGUUAAACUCCGAAUGCCACAGACUCGUCCUCCGGGAGUCAGACUACGAGUGCUAAGAUCCGUGGUCGAGAGGGAAACAGCCCAGACCGCCAGCUAAGGUCCCAAAGUAACCGUUAAGUGGCAAAGGAUGUGGAGUUGCCCAGACAACCAGGAUGUUGGCUUAGAAGCAGCCAUCAUUCAAAGAGUGCGUAAUAGCUCACUGGUCAAGUGACUCUGCGCCGAAAAUGUAACGGGGCUAAACGGUUCACCGAAGCUGCGGAUGUCCUUCGGACAUGGUAGGGGAGCGUUCCAAACAGCAGCGAAGCUGCUUCGUGAGAAGUGGUGGAGCGUUUGGAAGUGAGAAUGCCGGUAUGAGUAGCGAAAAGAAGGGUGAGAAUCCCUUCCACCGAAAGCCUAAGGUUUCCUGAGGAAGGUUCGUCCGCUCAGGGUUAGUCGGGACCUAAGCCGAGGCCGAAAGGCGUAGGCGAUGGACAACAGGUUGAGAUUCCUGUACCACCUUGUUCCGUUGACGACGGGGGGACGCAGGAGGGUAGAGAAUCGCGCGACUGGUUGUGCGCGUCCAAGCAGUGAGGCUGAAGAGACAGGCAAAUCCGUCUCUUCUUUAAGGCCAGGCUGUGAUGGCGAGGGAAGUUUCAGUACCGAAGUUCUUGAUCUCACACUGCCAAGAAAAGCCUCUAAGGAGGAACAAGGUGCCCGUACCGCAAACCGACACAGGUAGGCGAGGAGAGAAUCCUAAGGUGCUCGGGAGAACUCUCGUUAAGGAACUCGGCAAAAUGACCCCGUAACUUCGGGAGAAGGGGUGCCCCGUUAGGGUCUUCGGGCCCGAGGGGGCCGCAGUGAAGAGGCCCAGGCGACUGUUUAGCAAAAACACAGGUCUCUGCAAAGCCGCAAGGCGAAGUAUAGGGGCUGACGCCUGCCCGGUGCUGGAAGGUUAAGGGGAAGAGUUAGCUCGCGCGAAGCUCUGAACCGAAGCCCCAGUAAACGGCGGCCGUAACUAUAACGGUCCUAAGGUAGCGAAAUUCCUUGUCGGGUAAGUUCCGACCCGCACGAAAGGCGUAACGAUCUGGGCACUGUCUCAACGAGAGACCCGGUGAAAUUGUACUACCAGUGAAGAUGCUGGUUACCCGCGACAAGACGGAAAGACCCCGUGGAGCUUUACUGCAGCCUGAUAUUGAAUCCGGGUACGGCUUGUACAGGAUAGGUGGGAGUCUGCGAAGCCGGAGCGCCAGCUUCGGUGGAGACGCCGGUGGGAUACCACUCUGGCCGUAUCGGGGUUCUAACUCGCCGCCGUCAUCCGGCGGGAGGACCGUGUCAGGUGGGCAGUUUGACUGGGGCGGUCGCCUCCUAAAAGGUAACGGAGGCGCUCCAAGGUUCCCUCAGCGCGGUUGGAAAUCGCGCCCUCAGAGUGCAAAGGCAGAAGGGAGCUUGACUGCGAGACCUACAAGUCGAGCAGGGACGAAAGUCGGACUUAGUGAUCCGGUGGUUCCGUGUGGAUGGGCCAUCGCUCAACGGAUAAAAGCUACCCCGGGGAUAACAGGCUUAUCUCCCCCAAGAGUCCACAUCGACGGGGAGGUUUGGCACCUCGAUGUCGGCUCAUCGCAUCCUGGGGCUGAAGUAGGUCCCAAGGGUUGGGCUGUUCGCCCAUUAAAGCGGUACGCGAGCUGGGUUCAGAACGUCGUGAGACAGUUCGGUCCCUAUCUGUCGCGGGCGCAGGAAAUUUGAGAGGAGCUGUCCUUAGUACGAGAGGACCGGGAUGGACGCACCUCUGGUGUACCAGUUGUUCCGCCAGGAGCACCGCUGGGUAGCCAAGUGCGGAAGGGAUAAGCGCUGAAAGCAUCUAAGCGCGAAGCCCCCCUCAAGAUGAGAUUUCCCAUUCCCUCGUGGAAGUAAGACCCCUUGCAGAUGACAAGGUAGAUCGGUCCGGGGUGUAAGCACAGCAAUGUGUUCAGCUGACGGAUACGAAUCGGUCGAGGGCUUUCCCUA
rnacentral:rRNA from 1 species